GCCUGGGUGGCUCAGUUGGUUGAGUGUCUGACUUCGGCUCAGAUCUCACGGUUCAUGGGUUCGAGCCCCGUGUUGGUCU
rnacentral:tRNA from 1 species